UAUAAAGGCUGGUGACUUGGUUUUUAAGGGAUGGGACUUCUUGACUAAUGGAAGAGUUAGGAGGACAGCUACGGUUGUGACUGCUUAACAGUUUGUUUAAAUUUUUUGUAGAGUUUAGUAGGGUGAUUAUAUAUUUAAUGCUAAUCUCAGUCUCAAGCUUGUUGGGAGUCCAAUGUUCUAAUUGUUUAUUUGUACCAUGUGGGAUUCCUUUUUGAUUUUUAAAAGUGGUGCAAUUAUUUGGUAGGUACUAAUCCAGGUGCAAGUUUAAGUUGAAGAAAGGUGCGGUGUCCCUGUCUGCUACCUUGUUCUGGUUCAUGGGCAUGGUCAUAUUUCAGGAGACAGGAUAUCCACAUUUAAAAUCCAAAACAAGCCUCCUGACCAUGGAAAUCAUCAAAGGAGUUCGAUACAUUGAAUCAGCACAUAGCAAUCAGGAAGUAUAGUGGGAUGUUAUUGAUCUAAUCAUUACCGGAGGUUUUGCAAUGAGUAGUGAAGACAAGAAGUUCUCAGCUAAUCAGAAGGGCAUUCGUUCCCUCACUGAAUUGCUGCCAUGACAGCUAAGGGAGCUAAGGACUCUGAGAUGUUAACUCUAAUAUAAUCCACUUGAAAAU